CUAAGUGACGCCUUUAAUUGUGAAAUGUCAGAUUAAAUAGAGGGCCAAGGAGCUUUGCAUUGUGAUCAAGCGCCAGAUCAAGGUCGGCAAGUUCCACAAUGUCGAUAUCGAUAAGUUUUAGUAUUAUGAAAUAGUAGUUGGACAUGGUAACAUGAGUGUGGAUCUUGUUUCACACACAUCUAAUGUAAGAACAAUCUUUUGUGUACUCAUGUUGAUCGAGCAAUUUAGUAUAAUGAAAUACUAGUUGUACUCAUGUUAAAUUUCUGCAAUGUGGAAUGUGGUAUGUGGUAUGUAUCUGGAAUGUGGUAUGUGGUAUGUGUAUGUGAAAUGUAUGUAGAAUGUGGUAUGUGGAAUGUGUAUGUGAACUAAAGGGAAGAGAGAAGAUGUAUUGUAGCGAACAUGGCCUUGAUAAGCCAUUUUGGUUAUGAUUUUCGUGAUUCUAUGACAACAUGAUCAUUAGGACUGAAAACAUGUUUAGAACAUGCAUUGAAGGUAUUCUAAGGCCUAAGGAAGCAACCACAAGCAAAGAACUGAAGAAAUCCAGGAGAACAUACCAUCGGACAUUCCCAUGGACCCCAGAAUAGCGUCAGAUCAAGUAUAGGAGAAAUUGGUACACUUGCAAAGCAAUUCAAUUUAAAC
rnacentral:lncRNA from 1 species